UAUGUGAUCGUCUCUCGCAUAUCAAUAAGCGGAGGAAAAGAAACUAACAAGGAUUCCCCUAGUAACGGCGAGUGAAGCGGGAAGAGCUCAAAUUUGAAAUCUUAAAGGGUUUCCCUUUACGGAUUGUAGUUUAAAGAAGUGUUUUCUGUUGAGGUUUUGGUAAAAGUUCUUUGGAAUAGGACAUCAUAGAGGGUGAGAAUCCCGUAUUUGACCUUUACUUUCAACUUUGUGAUACACUUUCAAAGAGUCGGAUUGUUUGGGAAUGCAGUCCAAAAUGGGUGGUAAAUUUCAUCUAAAGCUAAAUAUUGGCGAGAGACCGAUAGCGAACAAGUACCGUGAGGGAAAGAUGAAAAGAACUUUGAAAAGAGAGUUAAACAGUACGUGAAAUUGUCAAAAGGGAAGCGUUUGACACCAGUGUUGUUUUUCUGAAAAUCAAUUAAAGAACUGUUUAUGCUAAGCUGUUUAGACUUUAUCAGCUAACUGUUUAGUUUUGAAGCUUUUCUUUAAUGCACUUUUCAGUUAACAAGUCAACAUCAAUUUCUUUUGCUGUAAAAAAGCUUGAGGAAGGUGGCUUGAGAUUCGUCUUAAGUGUUUAUAGCCUCUUGCCUAUGCAGUCGGAGAGAUUGAGGUCUGCAGCGUAGAUCCUUCGGGGCUAAAUGCAUUUGUGCUAAGUUAUAGCAUUUUAUAGACAACUUGUUGACUAUGAUUUGUCUUGUAGCUUACUCGCUUAUGUUAUUUUACCUACGCUUAGGAUGUUGAAGACUCUACAGAGAUA
rnacentral:rRNA from 1 species